GACGCGCUCGGCUACCGCCGUCUAGCAAGUUUGUCUUGGUUUCUGUGUUUGAGAAAAUCCUGAACUUCAGUUCUUGUCAACUCCAUCUCCAAAAGUAUCUGAUUCUCUGAAAGGAACUGUGCCUUCAUCAUUCCAUAUGACCCUGACGGCUGUGCCCUCCUCAGCCAGUGAGAGAACCCGUGACUCCUGGUAAGUGAGACUGGAUUUCCUUGGCAUUUAGAAGUAUCGGAGUUUCAAAACACAUGCUUUGAGAACAGCUGAUGCAGAGUC
rnacentral:lncRNA from 1 species